rnacentral:rRNA from 1 species
CCUACGGGUGGCAGCAGUGGGAAAUAUUGGACAAUGGGGGGAACCCUGAUCCAGCGACGCCGCGUGAGUGAAGAAGUAUUUCGGUAUGUAAAGCUCUAUCAGCAGGGAAGAAAGAAAUGACGGUACCUGACUAAGAAGCCCCGGCUAACUACGUGCCAGCAGCCGCCGUAAUACGGAGGGGGCAAGCGUUAUCCGGAUUUACUGGGUGUAAAGGGAGCGUAGACGGCGAUGCAAGUCUGAAGUGAAAGGCGGGGGCCCAACCCCCGGACUGCUAUGGAAACUGUAUGGCUGGAGUGCAGGAGAGGUAAGUGGAAUUCCUAGUGUAGCGGUGAAAUGCGUAGAUAUUAGGAGGAACACCAGUGGCGAAGGCGGCUUACUGGACUGUAACUGACGUUGAGGCUCGAAAGCGUGGGGAGCAAACAGGAUUAGAUACCCCGGUAGUC